AGCAGCCGCGGUAAUUCCAGCUCCAAUAGCGUAUAUUAAAGUUGUUGCAGUUAAAAAGCUCGUAGUUGAAUUUCGGGGUCAGUAGGUUGGUCGUGCCACCGGUACGUACUGGUCUCACUGAUUCCUCCUUCCUGAAGAACCGUAAUGCCAUUAAUUUGGUGUUGCGGGGAAACAGGACUGUUACUUUGAAAAAAUUAGAGUGUUUAAAGCAGGCUAACGCUUGAAUACAUUAGCAUGGAAUAAUGAAAUAGGACGAUCGAUCCUAUUUUGUUGGUUUCUAGGAUUGACGUAAUGAUUAAUAGGGAUAGUUGGGGGCAUUAGUAUUCAAUUGUCAGAGGUGAAAUUCUUGGAUUUAUUGAAGACUAACUACUGCGAAAGCAUUUGCCAAGGAUGUUUUCAUUAAUCAAGAACGAAAGUUAGGGGAUCGAAGACGAUCAGAUACCGUCGUAGUCUUAACCAUAAACUAUGCCGACUAGGGAUCGGAUGAUGUUAAUUUUAUAAUGACUCA
rnacentral:rRNA from 1 species